AAAACAUUGAAGAGGACUGGCCCUAAAACAGAGCCUUGAGGGACCCCGCUAGUGACCAUCUGCCAGCCAGAUGUGGCCCCAUUAACCACAACCCUUUGAGCCCUGCCCGUCAGCCAAUUGCCCACCCAUCAUAUGAUGGUUUGUUGCUUUUUUAUAGGCUGUAUG